rnacentral:lncRNA from 1 species
CUUGGUAUAAACAUGUUUAUUUAAUAUACUCAUAUAAAUAUAAAAAAGAAGAUGUGGUAUGAUUGUCAAUGAGACAACUCUGCACAAGAGACCAAAAUAACACAGAAAUUAUCAACUAUAGGUCAUCGUACGGCCUUCAACAAUGAGCAAAGCCCAUACCGCAUAGUCAGUUAUAAAAGGCCCCGAAAUGACAAUGUAAAACAAUUCAAACAAGAAAACUAACGGCCUUCUUUAUGCACAAAAAUUGAACGAAAAACAAAAAUGUAACACAUAAAAAAAUGUAAAAAAAAAAUAUUUUAAUAAAUGUUGAAAAUAUUAUUGUGUUUGUGAGUGGAAAACUACUUAAAAUUGUAGAAAUAUUCAAAAGUAGCUCUCGCGUUUUUGUUCUGCGGCUACGUUAACGGAACACCAAUCAAGUAAUCGAUCUUCAUGACUAUGGCUUCAAUAUUCAAUGGUAUAAUAAAAUAUCAUGUUCUGCUUGUCGUAGACUCAAAAAGACUUCAAGUUGGAAUAGAUCUACGAAGACUAAAGAAAGUUCAUGUGUGGUUUGGCAAUUGUACAUGCCCACGACACCGAUGUCCAGAUAUUGUUCGGAAGAUGUUUUGAGAAGUAACGAUGCUACCGGACAUGUAAAAUUAAACUGUUACAGUAUAUUACAGAACACAAAACUGGCUAUCUUUGCUGUAAAUACAAGUUAAAACCGGACAUGGUUUACAUUAAAGCUAAAAAUCCCAAUCCCACGGCAUCAAAUAAUUUAAAAAAAAAACAUAUGAUACUACCAUAUACCUCUAGUAGGCAGUAAAAGUGCUAUAUGUACGUUUUGUUUGGGUCUAGCCCAAGAAUAAGUAAGUUCAAGUCUUUUUAGAACGUUAUCGGAAGGACAUACUAAUACAAAAACUUAGUACCAGUGUUAUAUGAACGUUAUCGGAAGGACGUACUCCUACAAAAACUUAGUAAAUGAAUGUUUUGGAAGAACAUAUUCCCACAAAAAUUGAGUACCAGAGUUAUAUGAACGUUAUCGGAAGGACAUUUCAUACAAAAACUUUGUACUAGUGUUAUAUGAAUAUUAUCGGAAGGACAUACUCCUACAAAAACUUAGUAUCAGUGUUAAAUGAAUGUAUCCGAAGGACAUACUCCUACCAAAAUUGAGUACCAGUGU